GUCAAAUAAUAAAAUGUUUUGACAGUUGAAUCUCAAUGUAAAUUAAUUAAACUCUAUACUACUUACAUAUAUUUGUCUAGCAUAUAAGUAAACUCUUUUAAGAAAUCACAGCUCAAAUUAUUGUCCAGAUGGAGCUCAGGAAAACAAACCAAAAUCACAUUACAAAAUUUUUUAUACGAACUCACAAAUCAGCAAAGAAAAGAUACCCUCUUACUACAUUAGAGAGCUCUCCUCCUUCACCUCCUCGCCAUCAAUAGAUUCUGAACUGGAUACAAGAGAUAAAAUGACCAAUAAUCUGUCGAAGAAGAAAAUAAGGAACCAGCUUCAAACUAUUUACUGAAAAUGAUAGCAUUCUAUGAAUUAAAGUAUUUUGCAUACACCAUAUAUGUGCAUCUCUCAAAUCGAUUUGAUCAACUCUGAAACUAAAUGCUAUCACACUGAACACAGCUCAUAAGACAUCAAACGCUAGCAGAAACCACAAGUAAAAAAGUCAAUGAAAGCUGUACCUACACAACUUAAGCUGUUCAUCCCAUAUUGCGAGCUGUACCUACUUGCGAUCUGAACUCGAAUAUAGAUAUUACUACUUUAUGCAGUGGUACUUCGUAUGAGCUCAAAGAAUUCUCUAACUCUACUGAUAAUCAUAGAUAUUACUACUUUACUAUCCAAUUAUAUUCCACUUAGUAAGGUACAAACUUUUGUUUCGUAGAAUCAUCGGACAAUCUCCUUUCAAUUCAGUAGGAACUGGGCUGUAUAUCGUAUUUCUAUUUAGUCCUACAAGCAGACUACAAUUCUAGAGCUAGUUAGCUACAUAAUUUAGAAAGGACAAGGCUAAGUAUACACAAUUUUGGUCACUUGGCUAUCCAAGAGCUGUACUAAUUAAAUUAGAGUGAACGGGCAAUUGUUCUCCCUCCCUCUCUAAUCUUUCUAUUUCCCUGCCAACCAGAGCUGAAAGCUCCUCUAGGCAUGGCCAGGCACUCUAAUCUCUCCAAUGUAGCUCCCUCACUCCUUCCUAGAGUCCAUCAGCCACUGCCCUUUCGCACUGUCUUCUGCGCCGACACAUGAGAGCCAAGCUACCAGGAUGAGCCAACAGCUCUGCUUGGUGCCGGCUCGACCAUAUCUCUGAUGAACUCAAUUACUCCCUCCUUUUCCUCUGGCUCCUCUCUCUACUCCCGCACAUCUAUAUUGAGUGCAUCUCCGAGCAAAUCUCUUGCUGGUCUCAAAACAGAAUAUAUAUCAUCACCUCUCAAAACAGAAUAUGGUCUUUAUUAUAUAUACUGGAGCUGAAGAGAAAAGGGAUGAUGCGGUCUUACUGUGGCGGGUCCGCUUGUUGUAGAGGACACAAUAGCAACUUUCAGGGCAUUGUUCCUGGCUUCAGGGUGUUAUCGGCUCCUCAAU
rnacentral:lncRNA from 1 species